rnacentral:tRNA from 1 species
ACUUGGUGGGCUCAGUCGGAAGAGCAUGUGACUCUUACUCUCAGGAUUGUGUGUUUGAGCCCCACAUUGGGUG